UUAAUGGAGAGUUUGAUCCUGGCUCAGGACGAACGCUGGCGGCGUGCUUAACACAUGCAAGUCGAGCGG
rnacentral:rRNA from 1 species